CACAAAACUUUAUAGUAUUCUUUCAUCAUUCCCAAAUAAGAAAGGAUUUGUGGUUUUGUUUUAGCUGAUGUGUUUUUGUAUUUUCAAGGCUCAGCAUCAGAAUCGAGCAACAGAAGGAACUGAAGAGUACUUCCUGGCAUUUUUCUGGUGUGCUGGAAACUGUGACUGAUGCCAACAUGCAAUAAACUACAUCUACAGACAGAAAUGUUGAGAAGAUCAGCACCGUAACCACAAAACACAAUCAUUACUGCUCACUGAAAAUACCCCCAACAACACAUCUCCCUCUGUCAACUGUGGUGUAGCAGGUCUGCUCAGUAACACUUACUGAAGGCAUCACUUUAACAGAAAUCUGUGUUGGAUCCCAUGACAAAGCCAUCCUUCAACUACAAACAAGCAAACAAACAAAUGACUCCAAAAUGCCUGGCCAUGUGAUUCCAUCUUGAGAGAACUGAUUUUCUACAUCUCAUCUGAAUGGAAGUACAAUUUCAACCUAGUUCCUCUUUCUUUAUUUGUGUCAGAAGCACCACAGUACAAUUAAGAAAUAGAUCAGAUAAUUUUCAUUCAACAACAGGCAACAUCAUUUGGGGCAGCUAACAUCAAACCUUCCACAGUGCAUAUCGAGGGGCAUAAGAACAUUGCCACAGCUGCGAACCAUCCUGUUCCUCUACACUUUUGUAAAGGACCACAUCAGUGAAAAAACUUGUUUUCUUAGGUUCAGUUUGGUUCUGUGAACUCCACUGCAUUGUCUACUGUCAAGCAAUCCAGUUUUUGGUGUGACUGGGGCCUAGACUUUCCUGGGCAUCCAUUUUAAGAGGUGGGAAAGUUCUUGGUGCUGACAUUCUCUGUUGUUUCUUCAAGAUUCACAGAUGUUCUGAAAAAACUUUUCCAUGAUUUUAAUCUGGGAGGGAUUCAAUGGUAGCCAAAGGACAGAUGCACAUUUGAUUUAAGUCUCUUUUAGAGAUAUGAGUGAGAAGUAAUGUGCUAAACCUUGAAGAAGGGCAAAGACUUAGUGAUUCAUGGCUUCCUAUAAUUGACCUCAUUAGGACAGCAGUAAGUUGAUUAUGCUAUGCUGUGUGAUGCAAUCACAUUGAGUGUAUAUUGCCGUAUGCAAUGCGCUUAGU
rnacentral:lncRNA from 1 species